GAUGAACGCUGGCGGCGUGCCUCAAACAUGCAAGUCGAGCGGGGCUAUGUAAUAUCGCAAGGUAGAACAUAGCCUAGCGGCGAACGGGUGAGUAACACGUGGGUAACCUGCCUGGAAGACAGGGAUAACGAUUCGAAAGGGUCGCUAAUACCUGAUAAUAUCCUUUCAUCGCAUGGUGAUAGGAAGAAAGGGGAAACCCGCUUUCAGAUGGGCCCGCGUCCCAUCAGCUAGUUGGUAAGGUAAAGGCUUACCAAGGCGACGACGGGUAGCCGGUCUGAGAGGAUGUACGGCCACACUGGGACUGAGAUACGGCCCAGACUCCUACGGGAGGCAGCAGUUGGGAAUCUUAGGCAAUGGACGAAAGUCUGACCUAGCGACGCCGCGUGAGGGAAGAAGGCCUUCGGGUUGUAAACCUCUGUCAGUGGGGGAAGAAGUAAGUGACGGUACCCCAAGAGGAAGCCCCUGCUAACUACGUG
rnacentral:rRNA from 1 species